GGCCGCCGCCCCAUACAACACCUCAAUAGGCCACUCCAGCAGGAUUAAGAGGAGCAGGAGGGACCUGGAGACUAGAUAGCCGAGGAGAGGAUUUCCAAUGUCUGAGAAACAAAAGUAGGUGAAAUACACCCAGAAAUAGCUGCAAGGACAGGCCCAGGGGCACCUCUAUACCCAAAUGACAGAUGGUCAGGUGUGAGAACAACCUUUAAGUAGCAGUAGGAAGAAAGCUCUACAAACAUCUCUGGUAAACAACAAACAAGCUAAGGAGACAGGGCCUGCUUUGAAGAGCCUACGAAGUUAAGAGGCAGUAGGAUGACUGGAGAAGAGAAACCCGGGAUAGGGAAGGGUUAGGAUGAUAAGAUCACCACCCUGAGACACUAUCUGUCACUGAGUGCUGCUGAGCGGCAUACAGGAUGGCACCCUUGGAUAAGUCAUCAUUCCGCUAGCUCCAAAAUGCCCAUGUCAAAGGGAUCACAGAGCAUUAGGCCGGGCACAUGCUCCUCCCCAUCAAGAGCCCUGGCUCCUCAACGUGAGCCCUCAUGAUUAUGAGAUUUCAAUGGCAGGCUACCAACCCACCCCUCUGCAUCUGCUCCAGUGAUGCAGCCUCUACCAGCAGGUACAUCUCCUAGUGCAUGGAAGAAAUUAAGAACAGCUGACUCAGAAGUCAUCAAAGAAAGCUGGAAAAGGCAAUGCUAAGAAGAGGGGGAAACUCUGCCAAACUUGUCACAAUAAUCUCACCUCAGUUGAGGGAAAUCCAACCACUGAUCACCAAGAUACUACAGAGCCUUGGGGUCUGCUGGCCUUCUCACUACUCCUGGGUGUGCCGAUUACUUCAUUGGUGAGGGAUGUUUUCUCCAUUCUUAUUGGGCUAGGGGACUAUGCCUCUUAUUCCCACAUGAGGACUUCGCCUCUGUGAUCCUUAAUUUAAACAGCACGGCCAGGUUAGGCUGUUGCAUUCUGCUCUUGGAAUGUGAUUGCCACUCAGAAGCUGCACCCAGCAGCCCACAUAUUGUACCAACAUGAAUGUUUUGCACCGGCUCUCUGCAAACUCCACUGACUCUCCUAAUCCUAAUUCCAGCAAAGUUAACACCUGAGUGCUAGCCCACAACACCAUUCACAGGCUAGAUUGGUUGUUAUCAGCUCACGUAUCCAUGACCCACCAAGACAGCUUCCCGUCACAAAGCUGCCACCGCUAAAUGGGCCCAAGUAAAGGCACUUGGGAGCAUAGAUGCUGCCGCACGCCCUGGCAUGGAGCUGUUGAUACAAGGUUACAGUUUGGUUCACUGGCUCUCUGCACCCCCUACUAUAAAGCUUGUUCCAUCCCUCCUGCUUGGGAGCAGAUCUUUAUCUUCCACAGGAGAGCAGACUGAGCCCGGCUUGCCCCGUGUUUAAAUGCCACAACCCAUUCCUUCCACAAGGUUUUCCCCCUGGGCAGAGAGAGACUCAGAGGGGGCCAAGAGGACUCAGGAAAGAGAGUCCAUUUAGGGCACACUUGCUAUGACUCAAUACUUGGACACUGUGGGAAUGGGUGCCUUAGAAAUACCUUUAGAGCUUAGAUAGAAGAUAUCGAACUGGUGAUACAGACGUUCAUGUUGCCUAUGAGAUCAAGUGUAUGUGCUGCAAUAAAUCCCAGGGAGCAUAUAUCAUGUUAUUGUCCGGCCAUUUCCUGAAAUCUUUUAACUAGAGACUGAUUCCGGAACCAAAGGGCCAAGAGUUGAACCAGGGAUAGAUUUGGCCCCCGAGAUCAAAUGUCUGCUUUAGAAAGCGUAUCAGAUUCGUGCCGUUUGAAUUGCUGGGCUUGCACUGCCCUUGGCCAAAUGCAUUAGCUGCUGUUUAGCUUUAACCCCUGUUCUUUGUAACGUAACACACAAUUUCAGCUGGCUUCAGAAACUGUUCCCUCAACAUCACAAGA